rnacentral:tRNA from 1 species
AUGAAUGUCUGAGUGGUUUAAAGUAUUAGCCUUGAAAGCUAACGUAUAAAAAAUACCGUGGGUUCGAAUCCUACUUCAUC